rnacentral:rRNA from 1 species
UGGGGAAUAUUGCGCAAUGGGCGGAAGCCUGACGCAGCGACGCCGCGUGGGGGAUGACGGCCUUCGGGUUGUAAACCUCUUUCGAUCGGGACGAAGAGUGAUUGACGGUACCGGUAGAAGAAGCACCGGCCAACUACGUGCCAGCAGCCGCGGUAAUACGUAGGGUGCGAGCGUUGUCCGGAAUUACUGGGCGUAAAGAGCUCGUAGGCGGUCUGUCGCGUCGGUCGUGAAAACUUGGGGCUUAACCCCGAGCUUGCGGUCGAUACGGGCAUGACUGGAGUUCGGCAGGGGAGACUGGAAUUCCUGGUGUAGCGGUGAAAUGCGCAGAUAUCAGGAGGAACACCGGUGGCGAAGGCGGGUCUCUGGGCCGAUACUGACGCUGAGGAGCGAAAGCGUGGGGAGCGAACAGGAUUAGAUACCCUGGUAGUCCACGCCGUAAACGGUGGGCGCUAGGUGUGGGGGCCAUUCCACGGCCUCUGUGCCGCAGCUAACGCAUUAAGCGCCCCGCCUGGGGAGUACGGCCGCAAGGCUAA